rnacentral:rRNA from 2 species
UGCAAGUCGAGCGAACAGAAGGGAGCUUGCUCCCGGAUGUUAGCGGCGGACGGGUGAGUAACACGUGGGUAACCUGCCUGUAAGACUGGGAUAACUCCGGGAAACCGGAGCUAAUACCGGAUAGUUCCUUGAACCGCAGGGUUCAAGGAUGAAAGACGGUUUCGGCUGUCACUUACAGAUGGACCCGCGGCGCAUUAGCUAGUUGGUGGGGUAAUGGCUCACCAAGGCGACRAUGCGUAGCCRACCUGAGAGGGUGAUCGGCCACACUGGGACUGARACACGGCCCAGACUCCUACGGGAGGCAGCAGUAGGGAAUCUUCCGCAAUGGACGAAAGUCUGACGGAGCAACGCCGCGUGAGUGAUGAAGGUUUUCGGAUCGUAAAGCUCUGUUGUUAGGGAAGAACAAGUGCGARAGUAACUGCUCGCACCUUGACGGUACCUAACCAGAAAGCCACGGCUAACUACGUGCCAGCAGCCGCGGUAAUACGUAGGUGGCAAGCGUUGUCCGGAAUUAUUGGGCGUAAAGGGCUCGCAGGCGGUUUCUUAAGUCUGAUGUGAAAGCCCCCGGCUCAACCGGGGAGGGUCAUUGGAAACUGGGAAACUUGAKUGCAGAAGAGGAGAGUGGAAUUCCACGUGUAGCGGUGAAAUGCGUAGAGAUGUGGAGGAACACCAGUGGCGAAGGCGACUCUCUGGUCUGUAACUGACGCUGAGGAGCGAAAGCGUGGGGAGCGAACAGGAUUAGAUACCCUGGUAGUCCACGCCGUAUACGAUGAGUGCUAAGUG